rfam:Clostridium sp. KLE 1755 genomic scaffold Scaffold90, whole genome shotgun sequence.
GAGAGCCGUGUGCAUUGAGAAAUGCAAGCACGGUUCGGGGAGAGGACUGCACAAACCUACCUUAGAAAUAAGGAAAGGCGGUGCUUUCCUACUCUAC